rnacentral:lncRNA from 1 species
AUGAUAAUUUUUAUUUUUGAAAAGAUUGAGGUGAAUUCAAUGAAAUGAUACAACAAGGUAUUAUUUUUUAGAAAGAUUGAAAGGUGAUAUUGAAGGAUAUUAAUAAUCUUUUUCAAAUCAACUUUGAUAAGGGAAGUAUAAAAGCUUUGAUUAAGGAUUAUUUAGCUAUGCAUGGAAUUGCAACAAUAGAAGUUACAAGUUAUAGCACUAAAUUAGA